rnacentral:tRNA from 3 species
UGCCCCUUAGCUCAGUCGGUAGAGCAUGCGGCUGUUAACCGCAGUGUCGACAGUUCGAGUCUGCCAGGGGCAGCCA